rnacentral:rRNA from 2 species
AUUAAUAGUUAUGUUCUUUAAACUUAAAAAAAUUGGCGGUAUUUAAAUCUAAUUAGGGGAAUUUGUUUAUUAAAUGAUAAUCCACAAGAUACCUUACUUUAAUUAAUUUAAUUUAUUUAUUGCCGUUAUCAGAAUAUUUUUUAAGAAAAUAAAUUUUCUAUAAUUUAUAAAAAAAUUUAUUUCAGGUCAUUAUGUAGUUUAUAUUAAAGUUUAAAUGAGUUACAAUAAAUUUUAUUUAAUAAUGAAUUUUAUAUUGAAAAUUAUAAAUGAAGGUGAACUUAAUAGUAAAAUUUUUAAAAAAAUAAUAUUUUUUUGAAUUAAGAAUUAAAU